rnacentral:rRNA from 1 species
AUUGAACGCUGGCGGCAGGCCUAACACAUGCAAGUCGAACGAGUGGCGGACGGGUGAGUAAUGUAUGGGAACCUGCCUGAUGGAGGGGGAUAACUACUGGAAACGGUAGCUAAUACCGCAUACCAUCGGAUGUGCCCAGAUGGGAUUAGCUAGUAGGUGGGGUAACGGCUCACCAAGGCGACGAUCCCUAGCUGGUCUGAGAGGAUGACCGGCCACACUGGGACUGAGACACGGUCCAGACUCCUACGGGAGGCAGCAGUGGGGAAUUUUGCACAAUGGGCGAAAUCCUGAUGCAGCAAUGCCGCGUGUAUGAAGAAGGCCUUCGGGUUGUAAAGUACUGUCAGCAGGGAAGCGGUACCUGCAGAAGAAGCACCGGCUAACUCCGUGCCAGCAGCCGCGGUAAUUC